GGAACUGAAAUAAGGAGGCAGUCUGCAGAGGAGUAUAUACAAGAGGCAAGAGGACGCCAGUGAACAGAGGCGCAGCAGAUCAAGAUCGACGAGUAAGGAAGAUGAGCCUGGCAGAGGCAUUCAUAAUGGAUUGUAAAGGGGCUAUGCGGCAGCUAGGUAGACCAGAGAGGACUGAGUUGCAGUAGUCGAUAAAUAAAUAUUUUGUCUGCUUCA